GGGCUCUUAGCUCAGCUGGUAGAGCGCCUCGUUUGCAACGAGGAGGCCACGAGUUCGAAUCUCGUAGAGUCCA
rnacentral:tRNA from 1 species